rnacentral:rRNA from 1 species
CCUACGGGAGGCAGCAGUAGGGAAUCUUCCGCAAUGGACGAAAGUCUGACGGAGCAACGCCGCGUGAGUGAUGAAGGUCUUCGGAUCGUAAAACUCUGUUGUUAGGGAAGAACAAGUGCCGUUCGAAAGGGCGGCACCUUGACGGUACCUAACGAGAAAGCCACGGCUAACUACGUGCCAGCAGCCGCGGUAAU